CCUACGGGAGGCAGCAGUAGGGAAUAUUGCUCAAUGGGGGAAACCCUGAAGCAGCAACGCCGCGUGGAGGAUGAAGGUUUUCGGAUUGUAAACUCCUUUUGUUAGAGAAGAUAAUGACGGUAUCUAACGAAUAAGCACCGGCUAACUCCGUGCCAGCAGCCGAGGUAAUACGGAGGGUGCAAGCGUUACUCGGAAUCACUGGGCGUAAAGAGCGCGUAGGCGGGAGAGCAAGUCAGCUGUGAAAUCCUAUGGCUUAACCAUAGAACUGCAUUUGAAACUGUUAUUCUAGAGUAUGGGAGAGGUAGGUGGAAUGCUUGGGGUAGGGGGAAAAUCCGGAGAGAGCAAGAGGAAUACUCAUUGCGAAGGCGACCUGCUAGAACAUAACUGACGCUGAUGCGCGAAAGCGUGGGGAGCAAACAGGAUUAGAUACCCCUGUAGUC
rnacentral:rRNA from 1 species